CUUUUAUAAACAUAGCAGUUUCAGAGAAACUGCUAUGUUUAUAAAUGGGUUAAUCCAGCCCUCAAAGCCUCUAGUGGCUGUCUCAUUGACAGCCGCUAGAGGCGUGUGGCGAAACCGGCCUCGCCACGUGUCCUUGGAGGGGGCUGCUUGCCCGCCUCUUGCCUUUGGACUAUGGACCAGACUUUAUGAGAAUGUGUUAACCCAGAUAGCUAUGCCAUGGAG